rnacentral:rRNA from 1 species
GGAUGAUCAGCCACACUGGAACUGACACACGGUCCAGACUCCUACGGGAGGCAGCAGUGAGGAAUUUUGCGCAAUGGGGGAAACCCUGACGCAGCAACGCUACGUGAGUGAAGAAGGCCUUCGGGUCGUAAAGCUCUGUCAAGGGGGAAAAACCCCUCUCGAUGAAUAGUCGAAAGGGCUGAUGGUACCCCUAGAGGAAGCACCGGCUAACUCCGUGCCAGCAGCCGCGGUAAUACGGAGGGUGCGAGCGUUGUUCGGAAUUACUGGGCGUAAAGAGCGUGUAGGCGGUUUGGCAAGUCAGAUGUGAAAGCCCUGGGCUCAACCCAGGAAGUGCAUUUGAAACUGUCAUACUAGAGUAUGGGAGAGGAGAGUGGAAUUCCCAGUGUAGAGGUGAAAUUCGUAGAUAUUGGGAGGAACACCCGUGGCGAAGGCGACUCUCUGGACCAAUACUGACGCUGAGACGCGAAAGCGUGGGGAGCAAACAGGAUUAGAUACCCUGGUAGUCCACGCCGUAAACGAUGAGAACUAGGUGUAGCGGGUAUUGACCCCUGCUGUGCCGGAGCUAACGCAUUAAGUUCUCCGCCUGGGGAGUACGGUCGCAAGGCUAAAACUCAAAGGAAUUGACGGGGGCCCGCACAAGCGGUGGAGCAUGUGGUUUAAUUCGACGCAACGCGAAGAACCUUACCUGGGUUUGACAUCCCCUGACAGUCCCGGAAACGGGAUCUUUUCGACUUGUCGAAACAGGGUGACAGGUGCUGCAUGGCUGUCGUCAGCUCGUGUCGUGAGAUGUUGGGUUAAGUCCCGCAACGAGCGCAACCCUUGUCUUUAGUUGCCAGUAUUAAGUUACGCACUCUAGAGAUACUGCCUCGGUUAACGAGGAGGAAGGUGGGGAUGACGUCAAGUCCUCAUGGCCUUUAUAUCCAGGGCUACACACGUGCUACAAUGGGCUGUACAAAGGGUUGCUAUCCCGCGAGGAGGCGCUAAUCCCAAAAAGCAGCUCUCAGUUCGGAUUGGAGUCUGCAACUCGACUCCAUGAAGGUGGAAUCGCUAGUAAUCGUGGAUCAGCAUGCCACGGUGAAUACGUUCCCGGGCCUUGUACACACCGCCCGUCGCACCACGAAAGUUGGCUGUACCAGAAGUUGCUGGGCUAACCCCUGAGCUUGUCGAAGGGGAGGCAGGUACCUAAGGUACGGUUGAUAAUUGGGGCGAAGUCGUAACAAGGU